AAGUGAAGUGUCCGGACACCCAAACAAGUGUCCGGACACCUCGAGCAGUUUUUGAGCAGAUAUGCAAUCUGUCUCAUUUUCUUCACAAAGUGUCCGGACACUUUAUGAGCCGUCCGGACACUCGACGAUAAAUUUCAGUUUAAAACACAUUGGGACAGUUUUAGUUUUAAUUCUUUCACUGGUUUUGACAGAGAACGCCGAGAGAGAGAGAGAACUAGAGAGAAGAAGGAUUUUGGUGUGAAUCAAGGAGAAAGAAGCUUGACUUGAAGAUUUUGGACUUUCUAAAGCUUGGUUUUCAAGAUUUCUUCAAGAUUGAGAUUUGAGCUUGGAUUGAAGUGUGGAGAUAGGAGGAGAGGUGGUUGUCCUAAGGUUUGAAGAUUUGGGCAAGGUGAGUAGUUUACCUUCAAAUUUUGAGAUAAAUGUGAGUAGUUGGUUUGGAAAAUAAUAAUUUUGGGAUGUCAAUUGAAUUGCAAAUGCGUGUAUGGUGUAGGUUAUUGAACUUGGAAGAUUGGUGACUAGAGUUGUGGUGAGAUUUUACUCAAACGAGGUGAUAUAGGUACUAGCGCUAGUGCUCCGACUACGGAUCAGCAGGGAGGAGCGUGACGCGGAUGGCCUGGACUUGUGGUGAUUUGUUGUUUAUUUUGUGUGGUCUUUGAUUAGUCUUAGGCUUAAUGGUAUAUUGGGAUAUAUACGAAAUGUGUGGGAUGAAUGAUGAUUUUGGAUGGUUAGGCUUGAUGCCUGGGUAUGUAUGUGUGUAUGAUGAAUUAUGUUUGAGAUGAUAUGGCCGGAGGCCCUGGAUAUUUAGUUUGGUGUUAUGGGAAUUGUGUGUUUUAAAUUGUUAUGUUUUAUGCAGGAGGCAUUCUCCGAUAUACGGGGAGGUGCUGCCGAAUUUUUGUGUAAAAUUUGUGUUGGUAUAAUGGUGAGUUAAAUGUAUUGA